rnacentral:tRNA from 1 species
GCCGAGGUAGCCUAGCCCGGCCAAGGCGGUGGACUCGAGAUCCACUGGUGCCACCGCACCACGGGAGUUCAAAUCUCCCCCUCGGCG